UGACCUCGAAUCAGGUAGGACUACCCGCUGAACUUAAGCAUAUCAGUAAGCGGGAGAAGAAGAC
rnacentral:rRNA from 1 species